AACUUUUCAUAACAAUUUAAGGGGGAAAAAAGGAAAGAAAUCGCCACUGAUUCUUGUAGGAAGGAGGAAAUUAUAAUAUUCAAGAUUGCGCAUCUAGUAACCUGCAAAGAUGCAGGAAGUGAUUCCUAACCGUGUAAGUUACCAUUCAGCAGCCCAAAAAUAAAAAUAGUCUUCUGACAUUGACAAGACAGAUAGAAAAAGCAAAGAUUCAGUUUGGAAGGGUGAGAGGUUCUCAACAAUCUUCCUUGAUCAGAUAGAUACCCAGAAAAAUAAAAAACAGAAGACGAAGAGUAGAGAAGCAAAGUAGAAAGAUGAUAAAAGCGAUGACCGCUACAUAAUAACUCCUAUAAGCAGUUCUGUUCUAACACUGAUGUUGCAUAUUAAUUUCAGAUACUAAGAUACAUGAUCGCUCGAUUUCAGACAUGAUUGGCGUGUUUAAAUGUUAAUCUUUCUGGAACUGUAGAAGCUGCGAAUGUGAGACACUGAAUCAACUGGGGGGUCUGACUCGUCAUCAGCAGAAGGUUCAUUUGCAAGGAAAGCAUGAGGAGCUAUUGGUUCAUUUGCGAAAAAUGCAGGAGAUGGGGUUGGGGAUAUUUCCCUGUUUGCAUGCAAAUCAUGAGAUGGGACUAUAGAGGCUCACUUGCAAGCACAAUAUGAGGAGUUAUAGGCUCAUUUGUAGGAGCAAGAGAUGGGGUUGGGGUCAUUGACCUGCUUUCAGGAAAAUCAUGAGAUGGUGUUAUAGGCUCUUUUGCAGGGGAAGGAGAUUGUGUGGGGGUUAUUGCCUCAAUUUCAGGCAAAUCAUGAGAUG